rnacentral:ncRNA from 1 species
GCGAGCCGUAUGCGGGGAAACUCGCACGUACGGUUCUUCGGGGGCCGCGUUUCCGGGAGGGAGCGCGGCUACCCUCU